AAAAAAAAAAAAAAAAAAUCCAAUUAUUAGUACCUUAUUCUGUCCCGAAUUCAAGAAAUUUGAUUUAUUUUAAUGAGUUCGGAUGGUCAUUUGGCCUGUUGAGGAACCUGUAUUAAUUUGUCGUUAGUACAUGAAAAUGUGCUUCUAGGAUCUUGAACUCAUCAUCUAUUGUAUAUUGGUCAAACUUGUACAGUUCUAACCUCGAAACUAUUCAAUUCCUUGAAAAAUAUUUAUACUUUAUUAUAGGGCUUGUUGGAAGAUCAAUGUAUCAUAUCCUUCUCUUUUAAGACUUGCUCGUCGGAGACAAUAGCAUUACUCUGAUGUUGUGCACAUAUAAUUGCGGGGCACCGUUUGAUCAGCUUGCAUUAAGUGAAUAGGUCUUUAUGUUUCGCAUCUCUCUCUGUUUAGUAGCCUCAACUCCAUGCUUUAGCUCCAUUGGUUGUGGAAUUCAGGUCAGUUUUGAGCACGAGAAAAUGAUCGGUUCUUGCAGCAGCACUAAUAAGUGUUUUCUUUUCUCCACAGAUGUUGCUUGCUUCUGAUUACUUGCACAUGCAGGUUUACUGAUCAACCCUCAUCAGCUGCUGCUUCUAGUUACUCGCACGCUUUCGUUCUUCCGGUGUAGUUAAAACCCAGAGUGGAUGUGAAUCAUUCUUUUGGACAACUCUACCGGACGAGUCCGUUGGAGUGAUAACCAAACCGAGUCUUUGGGGAGUAAGAGGCAAUUGGGUCGUCGGAGAGGAGCAUGCUGGAGGAGCAGGAGGACACAAAAUAAGAAAGAAAGAAAGAAAGAAAUCUUUGGCAGUUGCAGAGGUUGCCAGAAGGCCGGCCAUUCUGCCAUACUUUUUAUCAACCAACAAUCGGGAUAACAAUCUUCAACUGAAGAUGCAGAAUGCAAAGAUGCGAGUACCGCAAAGAGGCUUCUAUAUCAUCUGCGCCUUAGCCCAAAUACUCAAUUCCGAUGUAAUUCACAAAAAAAGAAACCAUCAAACCAAGCUGGAGGACCAGCAAAAACAAUAAUAAAUGAAGAAAAGAAUUUGCGCAAACUUGGAAGUAAGGAUGCAUAUUCUAUGAGCCUACAUAGAAAUUCUUUCGUAAGUAUACUUUCGUUACCGUAAAAUACCCUGCAUCUUGAUAUCACAGCCAUCAAAUUUGGUCUAUAUU